rnacentral:lncRNA from 12 species
CACAAGGCCAUUUAUAGCAGGCUCCUGCUGUACUUCUGGGCUGCCUGCAUUCCCUAGGGAAUGCUAGCAUGUACACCACUUCUUGACUGGUUUCCAGGAGGCUUAUGAGGUGCUUACAUGACUUUUCACUUUUCUCUGUGCCUAUGGGGAGGGAUAAAGG